GUCCAAUAUUUUUGCUUAUGAUUUCUGCCUUGGCAAAACACAUAUAUAAUAUUGUUUUUCCCAGAAGGUUGGCUGAAUACUCUAAAAGUCAUUAUUGACUAAUACUGGGGUUAGCCAAGUACGACUAGGAUUUCCUUCAGUAGUGGAAACAUCGAUCAUUAGGGUGAAACAGAUUGUAUUUGCUGAAAGAAAAGCUACUUCUGCUUAUUUGUAGGGCAUAAACAUCCCAUGGGUCUGCUCAGAGUUAUAACAGUGUAAAUCCAUUAGAGUUGAGGGGAGACUCAAGCCCAUUAUUUUUCAACAAGUUAUAUUCACCUGUUUGCUUAAAUGAUGCCAGGUGGACAGAACCAACUUUUAUAACAAAUUUAAACUCCUCAUAAACAGAGCUUUAAGUUCCCUUCUUCUUUGACUUUGUCCCACAGGCCUUGAGACUGACAGGGACACCUGUACCUUUGUGGUGAGGCAAAAGAGCAGGUGAAAGAAAACUCAUUUGUCUUUAUUCUCACUGUAUUGAACAGACCACAGAUCAUCUGAGGGGGGGAUUAAGUUACACUCAGUUUUGCGAAGUUAACACUUUCUAAAACAUGAAACUCAAAGCCUGGUCCUGUUUUGCCAACAAGUGGCCUCAACUUCAACUGGUGAAUUGCCCUCUGAGCAUCAUUGGUUUGAACCAGUUUGAUCACAUAAUGCACAAGCUGCCGUGGAUUUGGCCCCAGCCUGAUAAAGCAGGAUCUGCAGCAAAUAAGAACCCUGGAAGCAGCAAGAUCUGCUGUGAUGUGGAUGGUGAUGAUGGAAGAGAAAUGGGUAUAGAGUGGAGAAAAAUCCCAGAAGCAGCUGUGCCAGAUACUUUUCUAGUGCUCUGAAACAGACAGUGAUACCAACUAAACACUCUCUCACUGGCAGAGUUCCCUUGCACAGGGAACCAAUGUGUUAUUUUGCUGUUUAACUUUUCUUCUCUUGGAGGAUUUACUUCUGUCGUGUUCUUGGCGCAGCUUUUUAUUAUUGACUUCUCCUAAAUGUAGAUAGUGUUGAGGAAACCAGACCCAGGUAGUAGUCCCAGUUAAGGGACUGCAUCCUAAUUAAUGGAUAAAUCAGUUCACACUAGCCUGGUCUCAGCCAGGUUUAAAUACUUGUUUCAAAUGGCUUUAUCAAAGAUUAAAUAACUGGGUAGUAACAGGCUAAGAAGUGAAGUCUGCAUAUCCCUGAACUUUAGUCCUCUGUUUCUGUCACUCAGCAACAUUGCUCUGUCUGAAAAUGAGGAUAACAUUGCUCUGCCUGCAGAGCAAAGUACUAGAAAUGGGGUUUUCAGUCAAGUUUUAGUAUGCCUGUGUAUAGAAAGCCAGCAGGAAGAAUUCUGCCCACGUUUACACAUAUGCAACCCAAGUUUGCAGUUAACUGAGCACAAAAUGCUGUCCUGAGUACACAAAUGUAUUAGAAAACAUGUGUGCUUUAUAAGGAUUGUACUACUGGUUUUCAGCAUGGUUUUAUUUAAUGAAAGUUAACAUGAUCUAUGGUAAUUAUUUGUGCAGUUAUG
rnacentral:lncRNA from 1 species